rnacentral:rRNA from 1 species
AGCGAACGUUAGCGGCGGGCCUAACACAUGCAAGUCGAGCGAGAAAAGGGCUUCGGCCCUUAGUAAAGCGGCGGACGGGUGAGUAAUACGUAGGUAAUCUUCCCUUGAGCGGGGGACAACGUUCCGAAAGGGACGCUAAUACCGCAUAAGUUUCUUGGGACUCUGGUCCUGAGAAGGAAAGCUAGGUAGCAAUAUCCGGCACUCGAGGAGGAGCCUACGUCGCAUCAGCUAGUUGGUGGGGUAACGGCCUACCAAGGCGAAGACGCGUAGCUGGUCUGAGAGGAUGAUCAGCCACACUGAAACUGAGACACGGUUCAGACUCCUACGGGAGGCUG